rnacentral:rRNA from 1 species
GACGAACGCUGGCGGCGUGCUUAACACAUGCAAGUCGAGCGGUAAGGCCCUUUCGGGGGUACACGAGCGGCGAACGGGUGAGUAACACGUGGGUGACCUGCCCUUAGCUCUGGGAUAGGCCUGGGAAACUGGGUCUAAUACCGGAUAUGACUCCAUAACGCAUGUUGUGGGGUGGAAAGCCUUGUGCGGCUAGGGAUGGGCCCGCGGCCUAUCAGCUUGUUGGUGGGGUGAUGGCCACCAAGGCGACGACGGGUAGCCGGCCUGAGAGGGCGACCGGCCACACUGGGACUGAGACACGGCCCAGACUCCUACGGGAGGCAGCAGUGGGGAAUCUUGCGCAAUGGGCGAAAGCCUGACGCAGCGACGCCGCGUGGGGA